rnacentral:rRNA from 1 species
AGUGAACGCUGGCGGUAUGCCUAACACAUGCAAGUCGAACGGCAGCACAGUAAGAGCUUGCUCUUACGGGUGGCGGGUGGCGGACGGGUGAGGAAUACAUCGGAAUCUACUUUUUCGUGGGGGAUAACGUAGGGAAACAUACGCUAAUACCGCAUACGUCCUACCGGUGAAAGCAAGGGAUCUUCGGACCUUUCCCGAUUGUAUGAGCCGAUGUCGGUUUGCCUUGUCGGAGGGGUAAAGUCCCACCAUGGCAACGAUCCGUAGCUGGUCUGAGAGGAUGAUCGGCAAAACUGGACCUGAGACAGGGUCCAGACUCCUACGGGAGGCAGCAGUGGGGAAUAUUGGACAAUGGGCGCAAGCCUAAGCCAGCCAGACCGCGUGGGUGUAGAAGGCCUUCGGGUUGUAAAGCCCUUUUGUUGGGAAAGAAAAGCAGCAGGUUAAUACCGCGCUGUUCUGACGGUACCAAAAGAAUAAGCACCGGCUAACUUCGU